AUUGAACGCUGGCGGCAGGCCUAACACAUGCAAGUCGAGCGGAUGAAGGGAGCUUGCUCCUGGAUUCAGCGGCGGACGGGUGAGUAAUGCCUAGGAAUCUGCCUGGUAGUGGGGGAUAACGUCCGGAGACGGGCGCUACUACCGCAUACGUCCUGAGGGAGAAAGUGGGGGAUCUUCGGACCUCACGCUAUCAGAUGAGCCUAGGUCGGAUUAGCUAGUUGGUGGGGUAAAGGCCUACCAAGGCGACGAUCCGUAACUGGUCUGAGAGGAUGAUCAGUCACACUGGAACUGAGACACGGUCCAGACUCCUACGGGAGGCAGCAGUGGGGAAUAUUGGACAAUGGGCGAAAGCCUGAUCCAGCCAUGCCGCGUGUGUGAAGAAGGUCUUCGGAUUGUAAAGCACUUUAAGUUGGGAGGAAGGGCAGUAAGUUAAUACCUUGCUGUUUUGACGUUACCAACAGAAUAAGCACCGGCUAACUUCGUG
rnacentral:rRNA from 1 species